UACAGAGGGUGCGAGCGUUAAUCGGAAUUACUGGGCGUAAAGGGCUCGUAGGCGGCCAACUAAGUCGGACGUGAAAUCCCCAGGCUCAACCUGGGAACUGCGUCCGAUACUGAUUGGCUUGAAUCCGGGAGAGGGAUGCAGAAUUCCAGGUGUAGCGGUGAAAUGCGUAGAUAUCUGGAGGAAUACCGGUGGCGAAGGCGGCAUCCUGGACCGGCAUUGACGCUGAUGAGCGAAAGCUAGGGGAGCAAACGGG
rnacentral:rRNA from 1 species